rnacentral:rRNA from 1 species
AGUGAACGCUGGCGGUAGGCCUAACACAUGCAAGUCGAACGGCAGCACAGUAAGAGCUUGCUCUUACGGGUGGCGAGUGGCGGACGGGUGAGGAAUACAUCGGAAUCUACUUUUUCGUGGGGGAUAACGUAGGGAAACUUACGCUAAUACCGCAUACGACCUACGGUUGAAAGCAGGGGAUCUUCGGACCUUGCGCGAUUGAAUGAGCCGAUGUCGGAUUAGAUAGUUGGCGGGGUAAAGCCCCACCCAGGCGAGGAUCCGUAGCUGGUUUGAGAGGAUGGUCAGCCACACUGGAAGUGAGAAACGGUCCAGAGUCCUAAGGGAGGCAGCAGUGGGGAAUAUUGGACAAUGGGCGCAAGCCUGAUCCAGCCAUACCGCGUGGGUGAAGAAGGCCUUCGGGUUGUAAAGCCCUUUUGUUGGGAAAGAAAAGCAGCAGGUUAAUACCCCGCUGUUCUGACGGUACCCAAAGAAUAAGCACCGGCUAACUUCGUG